rnacentral:rRNA from 1 species
GCGGCAGGCCUAACACAUGCAAGUCGAGCUCGAAAGGCUUUCGGGAUGAGUAGAGCGGCGGAGGGGUGAGUAACGCGUAGGAAUCUACCUGGUAGUGGGGGACAACUUGGGGAAACUCAAGCUAAUACCGCAUACGCCCUAUGGGGGAAAGCGGGGGACCUUCGGGCCUCGCGCUAUCAGAUGAGCCUGCGUAGGAUUAGCUAGUUGGUGAGGUAAAGGCUCACCAAGGCGACGAUCCUUAGCUGGUCUGAGAGGAUGAUCAGCCACACUGGGACUGAGACACGGCCCAGACUCCUACGGGAGGCAGCAGUGGGGAAUAUUGCGCAAUGGGGGCAACCCUGACGCAGCCAUGCCGCGUGUGUGAAGGAGGCCUUCGGGUUGUAAAGCACUUUAAGUGGGGAGAAAAGGGUAGCGGUUAAUAGCGGUUACCUGUGAUGUUACCCACAGAAUAAGCACUGGCUAACUCCGUGCCAGCAGCCGCGGUAAUACGGAGGGGCGAGCGUUAAUCGGAAUUACUGGGCGUAAAGCGCGCGUAGGCGGUUUGUUAAGUCAGCUGUGAAAGCCCCGGGCUCAACCUGGGAACUGCAGUUGAUACUGGCCGACUGGAGUACGAGAGAGGGAGGUAGAAUUCCAUGUGUAGCGGUGAAAUGCGUAGAUAUAUGGAGGAAUACCAGUGGCGAAGGCUGCCUCCUGGCUCGAUACUGACGCUGAGGUGCGAAAGCGUGGGGAUCAAACAGGAUUAGAUACCCUGGUAGUCCACGCCGUAAACGAUGUCUACUAGCCGUUGGGAGACUUGAUUUCUUAGUGGCGCAGCUAACGCAAUAAGUAGACCGCCUGGGGAGUACGGCCGCAAGGUUAAAACUCAAAUGAAUUGACGGGGGCCCGCACAAGCGGUGGAGCAUGUGGUUUAAUUCGAUGCAACGCGAAGAACCUUACCAGGUCUUGACAUCCAGAGAACUUGGCAGAGAUGCCUUGGUGCCUUCGGGAGCUCUGAGACAGGUGCUGCAUGGCUGUCGUCAGCUCGUGUCGUGAGAUGUUGGGUUAAGUCCCGUAACGAGCGCAACCCUUGUCCUUAGUUGCCAGCACGUAAUGGUGGGAACUCUAAGGAGACUGCCGGUGACAAACCGGAGGAAGGUGGGGACGACGUCAAGUCAUCAUGGCCCUUACGACCUGGGCUACACACGUGCUACAAUGGAACGCACAGAGGGCUGCAAAGGCGCGAGCUGGAGCCAAUCCCACAAAACGUUUCGUAGUCCGGAUCGGAGUCUGCAACUCGACUCCGUGAAGUCGGAAUCGCUAGUAAUCGUGGAUCAGAAUGCCACGGUGAAUACGUUCCCGGGCCUUGUACACACCGCCCGUCACACCAUGGGAGUGGGUUGCUCCAGAAGUGGUUAGCCUAACCUUCGGGGGGGCGAUCACCACGGAGUGAUUCAUGACUGGGGUGAAGUCGUAACAAGGUA